rnacentral:rRNA from 1 species
UGGGGAAUAUUGGACAAUGGGCGCAAGCCUGAUCCAGCAACGCCGCGUGGAGGAUGAAGGUCUUCGGAUCGUAAACUCCUGUCAGGUGGGACGAAGGUCUGGGGGCGAAUAGUCUUCAGGCUUGACGGUACUACCAGAGGAAGCCCCGGCUAACUCCGUGCCAGCAGCCGCGGUAAUACGGAGGGGGCGAGCGUUAUUCGGAAUUAUUGGGCGUAAAGGGCGCGUAGGCGGCUUGACAAGUCAAAGGUGAAAUCCCUCGGCUCAACUGAGGAACUGCCUUUGAAACUGUCUGGCUUGAGGCCGGGAGGGGGUAGCGGAAUUCCCAGUGUAGCGGUGAAAUGCGUAGAUAU